GAAUCCCGUCUUUGACAUGGACUCCCAGUGCAUUGUGAUGCGCUCUCAAAGAGUCGAGUUGUUUGGGAAUGCAGCUCAAAAUGGGUGGUGAACUCCAUCUAAAGCUAAAUAUUGGCGAGAGACCGAUAGCGAACAAGUACCGUGAGGGAAAGAUGAAAAGCACUUUGGAAAGAGAGUGAAACAGUACGUGAAAUUGUUGAAAGGGAAACGCUUGAAGUCAGUCGCGUCGGCCGAGACUCAGCCUUGCCUCGGCUUGGUGUACUUCUUGACCGACGGGUCAGCAUCAAUUUUGCCCCUUGGAUAAUGGCGAGGGAAAUGUGACACCUUUAUAGGUGUGUUAUAGUCUCUCGUCGCAUGCAAGGGUCGGGAUUGAGGAACUCAGCACGCGCCUUCGGGCGUCGGGGCCUUGCCCACGAUACGUGCUUAGGAUGUUGGCGUAAUGGCUUUAAACGACCCGUCUUGAAACACGGACCAAGGAGUCUAACAUGCCUGCGAGUGUUUGGGUGGAAAACCCGAGCGCGUAAUGAAAGUGAAAGUUGAGAUCCCUGUCGUAGGGAGCAUUGACGCCCGGAUCUGACCUUUUGUGACGAUUCUGCGGUAGAGCAUGUAUGUUGGGACCCGAAAGAUGGUGAACUAUGCCUGAAUAGGGUGAAGCCAGAGGAAACUCUGGUGGAGGCUCGUAGCGAUUCUGACGUGCAAAUCGAUCGUCAAAUUUGGGUAUAAGGGCGAAAGACUAAUCGAACCAUCUAGUAGCUGGUUCCUGCC
rnacentral:rRNA from 1 species